CAAGUACUCCCUCUGUCCGGAAUUACUUGUCAUCAAAAUGGAUGUGUCUAGAACUAAAAUACAUCUAGAUUCAUCCAUUUCAAUGACAAGUAUUUUCGGACGGAGGGAGUACAAG
rnacentral:pre_miRNA from 1 species